rnacentral:rRNA from 1 species
UGGGGAAUCUUCGGCAAUGGACGAAAGUCUGACCGAGCAACGCCGCGUGAGUGAAGAAGGUUUUCGGAUCGUAAAACUCUGUUGUUAGAGAAGAACAAGGACGUUAGUAACUGAACGUCCCCUGACGGUAUCUAACCAGAAAGCCACGGCUAACUACGUGCCAGCAGCCGCGGUAAUACGUAGGUGGCAAGCGUUGUCCGGAUUUAUUGGGCGUAAAGCGAGCGCAGGCGGUUUCUUAAGUCUGAUGUGAAAGCCCCCGGCUCAACCGGGGAGGGUCAUUGGAAACUGGGAGACUUGAGUGCAGAAGAGGAGAGUGGAAUUCCAUGUGUAGCGGUGAACUGCGUAGAUAUAUGGAGGAACACCAGUGGCGAAGGCGGCUCUCUGGUCUGUAACUGACGCUGAGGCUCGAAAGCGUGGGGAGCAAACAGG